rnacentral:rRNA from 1 species
UGGGGAAUAUUGCACAAUGGGGGAAACCCUGAUGCAGCGACGCCGCGUGAGCGAAGAAGGUUUUCGAAUCGUAAAGCUCUGUCCUAUGAGAAGAUAAUGACGGUAUCAUAGGAGGAAGCCCCGGCUAAAUACGUGCCAGCAGCCGCGGUAAUACGUAUGGGGCGAGCGUUGUCCGGAAUUAUUGGGCGUAAAGGGUACGUAGGCGGUCUAUUAAGUCAGGUGUGAAAGCGUGAGGCUUAACCUCAUUAAGCACUUGAUACUGAUAGACUUGAGUGAAGGAGAGGAAAGUGGAAUUCCUAGUGUAGCGGUGAAAUGCGUAGAUAUUAGGAGGAAUACCGGUGGCGAAGGCGACUUUCUGGACUUUUACUGACGCUCAGGUACGAAAGCGUGGGGAGCAAACAGG